ACGCCACAGACGGAGAAGUAAGGGAUACAGAUGAACUAGGAAAGCUUUUUAAAUUGUAGGGCUUUGACAUCCAGAAAUUCUUCCAUGAUGAUGGCCUGCACCCCAGAGCUGGAGUGAACCUCCUGUUGGACAUCUCCAAGGCACAGUAAACCAUAUGCCUGGAUUUCUGGGAUCCCAGUAGAAGACAUCAGAACACCAGAUGCUGGCCUGGACAGAUGUACCUACAGUAAACCACACCAAUCUCUCUGCUUUUGCAUAGAUGGCUGACUACUACCAUAUUCUAUGAAGGUAUUAUUAUAGUAAAACUAAGCACCUGUGACAGUGGAAUUUGUAGUAAUAAAGAAUAAUCACACAUGUGUAUCAGUAAAUUUGAAGCAACAGAGAAUAACUGUUU